rnacentral:tRNA from 2 species
GGGCCCGUAGCUUAGCCUGGUGGAGCGCUGCUCUGAUAAAGCAGAGGUCCCGUGUUCAAAUCACGGCGGGCCCA